rnacentral:rRNA from 1 species
GAUGGGCAUGCGUGACAUUAGCUGGUUGGUAGGGUAACGGCCUACCAAGGCAACGAUGUCUAGGGGUUCUGAGAGGAAGGUCCCCCACACUGGUACUGAGACGCGGACCAGACUCCUACGGGAGGCAGCAGUGAGGAAUAUUGAUCAAUGGGCGCGAGCCUGAACCAGCCAUCCCGCGUGCAGGAAGACGGCCCUAUGGGUUGUAAACUGCUUUUGUGCAGGAAGAACGUCCCGUUCGUGAGUGGGAGUGACGGUACUGCAUGAAUAAGCACCGGCUAACUCCGUGCCAGCAGCCGCGGUAAUACGGAGGGUGCAAGCGUUAUCCGGAUUUAUUGGGUUUAAAGGGUGCGUAGGCGGUUAAAUAAGUCAGUGGUGAAAAUCUGCAGCUCAACUGUAGACCUGCCAUUGAAACUGUUUUACUUGAGUAACCAUGAGGUAGGCGGAAUGUGUAGUGUAGCGGUGAAAUGCUUAGAUAUUACACAGAACACCGAUUGCGUAGGCAGCUUACUAGCGGUUUACUGACGCUGAUGCACGAAAGCGUGGGGAUCAAACAGGAUUAGAU